rnacentral:rRNA from 1 species
UACGGAGGGGGCUAGGCGUUGUUCGGAAUUACUGGGCGUAAAGCGCAACGUAGGCGGCUUUGUAAGUUAGAGGUGAAAGCCCAGGGCUUAACCCGUGGAAACUUGGCCUUUAAACGACUGCAUUCGCUAGAAUCGUGGAGAGGUGAGUGGAAUUCCGAGUGUAGAGGUGAAAUGCGUAGAUAUCAGGAGGAACACCGGUGGUGU